rnacentral:lncRNA from 1 species
UCAAAAGAGAUCUACUGAGAAAAAUAUAGAUAAUAUAACCGAACUUUUAUACAAGGAAUUUCCCAAGGGCUGGUAGUUUAAAUACCGAGCUUCUGAGAUUUAGAGUUUAUAACGCUGAUAUGAAAGAAAUAUAUCAUAUGUUUGAAAUAUACAUGAGCAGAUUUAAAAUGCUAAAGCUACCAAGAACAAGAGGCAGCUAUGACAGCAACGCAGGUACAUCAUCAAUUCCAGCUCCCGCCAUACACAACAACAUCAGCAUCAAAAAUCUACAUGCAAGGAGUAAAAGUGUAAUAUGAGUACAACCGACCCCAUGUACUCAAUAAGUAACAAACCUAACCUUAGGUUGAAAGCAGUGACAAGCUUGGACAAAGGUCAGAGUCCAACACCAAUAGUCAAGAGACAUUCGUAACAAUAUAAGAAGAGCAGUAUAAGUAACGACUCAAAAAUAUGAUGCUCAACUCGUUCACAGUUACGGAAAAUAGUCAUGCUUUUCAGGUAUAAUAGUAAAACCCAAAUCUUUCACCGAAAUCACCAAAGUAUGAGUAAGUCAGAAAAACUAUGAUUUUUCCCAAAAUCUUUCAACAAUAAAUAAGAUGUUUCAGUAUCAGAUAGCAUGAAGAAAGUACUUCUCUAUGCCUACGUGUCAAUGUGCACGUGAAGUCAUGAAUGUCACAAAACAGUGUAGCAUGAGGAAAUGCAUCUCUAUGCAUGUAUGACAAGUAUGCAUGUCAAAUGCAAUGCAUCACAUCCAGCCCAGAGUACUCAAUCUCACUGUCUCACACUCCUACUCAUCACGCUCAAUACUCAGCACACUCAGUCACUCAGCAUUGUACAAUACCCGCUGCGGCGUGCAACCCGAUCCCGUCAUGAAUCAAUAGUAAUUGCGUUUACUAUGGGUGUGCAGACUCCGGAGGGGCGAAUCCAGCCCAUGCGCUAAUAAAUCUUACUACGGCGCGCAGCCCGAUCCCAUUAUGAGUCAAUAAUACUUGCUGCGACGUGCAGCCGGAUCCCAUCAUAAGUCAAUAGUACAUGAUGCGGCGUGCAAUUCUAUCCCAUCAUGAGUCAAUAGUGCCUACUGCGGCGUGCAGCCCGAUCCCAUCAAUGUCACUCAUAAACAGGCCAUCGGCCUCACUCAGUCAUUAAUCUCUCAAGUCUCUCGGGCUCACAAUGUCAUGAAAAUCAGUCCAAAAAUGAUGAUAUGAUGUAUUAAUAAAUGGCAAUAGAGACUGAGAUAUGAUAUGCAAAUAAAUGAGUAUGACUGCAUAUGUAACUGCAAUUUAAGCAAGUAACUCAACAACAGAUAUGACCUCAAUGGGUCCCAACGGAAUAAGCAUAUAGCCUAAACAUUGUUUCUAACAUGGAUCUCAGCUCAAUUACUCUAGCAAGUAAAUUUUUCAUGGAUAAAGACAAGAUUAGGUAACUACACAGUACCACAGGAUCAACCGAAUCAUAAUUCACACGAUGCACGCCCACAAACCCAUCACCUAGUAUGUGAGUCACCUCAACUCCAAACACAUAACACGUAUAUUUAGGGGUUCAAACACUUAACACCAAGUUUAGAAGUGUUACUUACCUCGAACAAGCAAGAUCCAAUAUCGAGCAAGCCACACAGUACUCUAGAAAUGCCACCUCGCACGCAUAAACCUCCGAACGACUCAAUACUAGCCAAAAGCAAUACAAGAACAUCAAAUAAUUCCAAAGGAAACAAACCCAAUUGAUAAAGGUCAAAUCUUUAAUCAAAAUUCCAAAGUUAACAAAAAAAGUCAAAACUGAGCCCGCACCUCAAAACCUGACAAAACUCACAAAAUCUGACAACCCAUUCAAUUACGAGUCCAACCAUACUAGUUUCACUCAAAUCCGACUCUGAAUCGAUGAUCAAAAUUCGAAAAUUCACUCUAUGAAACUUUAGACAAAACCCCCAAUUUCUCUUUUGAAAUCAUCAACCAAAUGUAACGACCCGAUCAGUCAUUUUGAGCUCUAGAGCAUUUUUUUGGUAAUUUGAGGCCUUGAGUAGCUUCCCUUCAUAUUUUAUGACUUGUACGUGUGGUUGGAAUUGAAUUUCGGGAAGUUCAGAGUUGUUUCGAAAAGAAGAUUCUCAAUUCGGAAGCUUUAAGUUGGAAGAGUUAACUAAGAUUUGACUUUUGAGUAAACGACCUCGGAAUUGAGAUUUGAAGGUUCCAAUAGGUUCAUAUGAUGAUUUCUUGCUUGGGCAUAUGUUCGUAUUGAGUAUCGGGUGGCCCGGGAGAAUUUCGACGCCUAUUAUGGAACGUUUGCAUUUCUGAAAGUUUAAGAAUUUCUUAAGUUUGAAUUAAAA